rnacentral:rRNA from 1 species
UCAGGGCGGGUGCUAUACAUGCAAGUCGAACGCGUUGGCCCAAUUGAUUGAUGGUGCUUGCACCUGAUUGAUUUUGGUCGCCAACGAGUGGCGGACGGGUGAGUAACACGUAGGUAACCUGCCCAGAAGCGGGGGACAACAUUUGGAAACAGAUGCUAAUACCGCAUAACAACGUUGUUCGCAUGAACAACGCUUAAAAGAUGGCUUCUCGCUAUCACUUCUGGAUGGACCUGCGGUGCAUUAGCUUGUUGGUGGGGUAAUGGCCUACCAAGGCGAUGAUGCAUAGCCGAGUUGAGAGACUGAUCGGCCACAAUGGGACUGAGACACGGCCCAUACUCCUACGGGAGGCAGCAGUAGGGAAUCUUCCACAAUGGGCGCAAGCCUGAUGGAGCAACACCGCGUGAGUGAAGAAGGGUUUCGGCUCGUAAAGCUCUGUUGUUAAAGAAGAACACGUAUGAGAGUAACUGUUCAUACGUUGACGGUAUUUAACCAGAAAGUCACGGCUAACUACGUGCCAGCAGCCGCGGUAAUACGUAGGUGGCAAGCGUUAUCCGGAUUUAUUGGGCGUAAAGAGAGUGCAGGCGGUUUUCUAAGUCUGAUGUGAAAGCCUUCGGCUUAACCGGAGAAGUGCAUCGGAAACUGGAUAACUUGAGUGCAGAAGAGGGUAGUGGAACUCCAUGUGUAGCGGUGGAAUGCGUAGAUAUAUGGAAGAACACCAGUGGCGAAGGCGGCUACCUGGUCUGCAACUGACGCUGAGACUCGAAAGCAUGGGUAGCGAACAGGAUUAGAUACCCUGGUAGUCCAUGCCGUAAACGAUGAGUGCUAGGUGUUGGAGGGUUUCCGCCCUUCAGUGCCGGAGCUAACGCAUUAAGCACUCCGCCUGGGGAGUACGACCGCAAGGUUGAAACUCAAAGGAAUUGACGGGGGGCCCGCACAAGCGGGGGGAGCAUGUGGGUUUAAUUCCAAAGCUACGCGAAAGAACCUUUACCAGGGUCUUGACAUUCUUGCCCCCAACCCCUAAAAGAAUAGGGCGGUUUUCCUUCCGGAAACGCCAAUGGACAGGGUGGGGGCAUGGC